GGGUCAGGUUGGGUGUCGGUCAAGUUGUGUGCGUCAGGUUGCGUGUGGGUCAGUGUGAAUCAUGUUGGGGUUAGGUUGGGGGUCAGUGUGGGUCAGGUUGAGGGUUAGGUUGGGGGUCAGUGCAGAUCAGGUUGGGGGUUGGUGUGGGUGAGGAUGGGGGUUAGUGCGGCUCAGGUUAGGGUCAGUGCAGGUCAUGUUGGGGGUUAGUGUGGGUCAGGUUGGAGGUCAGUGCAGGUCAGGUUAGGGGUCAGCUUGGUGGUUAGUGUGGGUCAGCUUGGGCGUCAGUGCAGGUCAGGUUAGGGGUCAGCUUGGGGGUUAGUUUGGGUCAGGUUGGGGGUCAGUGUGGGUGAGGAUGGGGGUCAGUGCAGGUCAGGUUGGGGGUCAGUGCAGGUCAGGUUGGGGGUCAGUGCAGGUCAGCUUGGGCAUUAGUAUGGGUCAGGUUGGGGGUCAGUGUGGGUCAGGUUGGGGAUCAGUGUGGGUCAGGUUGGUGGUCAGUGCAGGUCAGCUUGGGGGUUAGUGUGGGUCAGUUUGGGGGUCAGUGCAGGUCAGGUUGGAGGUCAGUGCAGGUCAGGUUGGGGGUCAGGUAGAAGGUCAUCUUGGGGGUUAUUUUGGGUCAGGUUGGGGGUCAGUGUGGGUGAGGAUGGGGGUCAGUGUGGGUCAGGUUGGGGGUCAGUGCAGGUCAGGUUGGGGGUCAGGUUGGGGGUUAGUGUGGGUCAGCUUGGGUGUCAGUGCAGGUCAGGUUAGGGGUCAGCUUGGGGGUUAGUUUGGGUCAG
ensembl:lncRNA